UACGUAGGUGGCAAGCGUUGUCCGGAAUUAUUGGGCGUAAAGCGCGCGCAGGCGGUCCUUUAAGUCUGAUGUGAAAGCCCACGGCUCGACCGUGGAGGGUCAUUGGAAACUGGGGGACUUGAGUGCAGGAGAGAAGAGUGGAAUUCCACGUGUAGCGGUGAAAUGCGCAGAUAUCAGGAGGAACACCAACGGCGAAGGCAGCUCUCUGGGACGUUACUGACGCUGAGACGCGAAAGCGUGGGGAGCAAACAGG
rnacentral:rRNA from 1 species